ACCAUCCUAGUGACAUGUCACUUGUAUCCUAAUCUAUUCCUAAGGUUCAAAUGGGAUUUUCCUCGAACACAUCUCCUUGCCAUCUUCUGUAAAAUACCGAAACCAAUACUCGAUAGUACUUUAUAUUUAACAAUUAAUACACAUAAUUUGCAUUUUAUUCGAAAAUAACCACAAAGCAUAAUAUUUCAUGAUAAUAAUCAGCAUCAUAUCAUAUAAACAACAUUAAAUUGCUUAAAAUGACAAUUAUGUUACUACAU
rnacentral:lncRNA from 1 species